AUUGAAAACAAAAGAAUGAAAACACCUAAAAACGCUCCAACAAUCCAACUUGAAUGGCAAGCAUGUUCAAGGGUCCUCCUUCUUCUCUUUGUUACAGCACAAGGUGUGGUUUGAUGGAUGAGUGGUAAAUUAUGGUGGUGGAUGGAUAUAGGUGAGUUAUGGUGAAGGGUGGAUGGGUGGAUUGUGUUCUUCCGGCCAAGGAAUGAAAGUGUAAGUGUAUGGGGUUGUGAGAUGUGAAUGUAGUGUCUUUUGAUGGUUCUUUUCUCCUCCCCCUUGUUAUGGUGAAGGGUGGAUGUAUUUAUAGGCUAGGGAGAGGACCACCAUCUAAUUAAGAUGGUAGUGGUGUAUGUUGUGGUAAUGAGUGGAUGUAAUGGGUGUAGUGUUGGAAAUAUGCCCUAAAACCAAUCAUGUGAUGAUACUUUACGGACAUUUCACAUGUUAAACUAAUCUAGUUUAAUAUCAAGGGCAAAGAUUAUUGUUUUAAGCCGUCUCAUAUAAAUGUUAUAUGCUUAAACGAUAAGUCCAAGGAAUAUGUAAUUAGAAGAAUGUAAUUUAAACAAGUUAGAUUUAUGAGACCAUUCUCUUUCGUAUACAUAUCCUAAACGUUCCUGAUCAUAGGAUUGUCAAUUGGGCAUUGACAGUCCGUUAAGAUCAGUACGUGCUGUGUCUUCUCUCAUGGAGAGUGACUGGUCUCGAGUCAUUGGUGUGAUUGACACUAAGACAAGCAUGUAGGUGCUCAAUAGCGAAUGAGUCCACUGAACACGAUCAACGAGGAGUUCUCAUACUCAUGUCACAUGAGAACAUGGUUGGGAUAAUGCAGACUAGUCAUUUGACCUGAGGCAUCAUAGUUAUCUUGUGAUUAAGUCCUUCAUCUUUGACUAUGUCAAAGUCACUCCAUCAGAGGGUGUUCACGGCAUAGUUGGGGUUAAGCCACUUAGCCAUGGAGGCAAGUGAAUGCGCAACAAGGGAUCUCUAACCUUCAAACCGUUUGAAGGAGAAUACUCUAUGAUAUGAUUAAAAAUCUCUAGCUAGAGUAUGAAUGAGAUUUAGGAAGUCAUUCCAAAUCACAUUCAAGGUAAUCAUAUAAGUAAAUGAAUCACAUUGGAUAAUAGACAUGAAUAAACUAUCAAUCCAAACAAUGUGGUCAAGAGUAUUGUAUUAGAGAAAGACCGUAUUGCAUUAUAAUCCUAAACUAAAUAGGUUCUCCACCUCUUCUGAUUAGCUUGGGUAACCAUGACAUACUGCUAGGUGUCACUCAUGGUUUGUGGAAGCCCUAAACGUGUAUAAUCACUACAGGGAGAAUUGAAAGUAAGUUUCAAUUCACAAUCGAUUUGAAAGAGAUCUAAUCGCCCACUGCCUCGCUAAAAGGAACCUAAUGGAUCG
rnacentral:lncRNA from 1 species